rnacentral:rRNA from 1 species
UGAAUGGCAUCACGAGGGCUUAACUGUCUCCCCUCCCCAGUCAAUGAAAUUGAUCUCCCCGUGCAGAAGCGGGGAUAAUACCAUAAGACGAGAAGACCCUAUGGAGCUUUAGACGUCAGAGCAGCCCAUGUAAAGCACCCCUUAACAAAGGAAAAAACCAAAUGAAGCCUGCCCUAAUGUCUUUGGUUGGGGCGACCGCGGGGAAAUACAAAACCCCCAUGUGGAGUAGGAAUACACAUUCCUAAACCCAAGAGCUCCCGCUCUAAUGAACAGAAAUUCUGACCAAUAAGAUCCGGCACACGCCGAUCAACGGACCGAGUUACCCUAGGGAUAACAGCGCAAUCCCCUUAAAGAGCCCUUAUCGACAAGGGGGUUUACGACCUCGAUGUUGGAUCAGGACAUCCUAAUGGUGCAGCCGCUAUUAAGGGUUCG